GCCUGAGUGGCUUAGUUGGUUAAGUGCCUGCCUUCAGCUCAGGUCAUGAUCCCACAGUCCUGAGAUCAAGCCCCACUUCAGGCU
rnacentral:tRNA from 1 species